CCGCUGAACCUCCUUCGUGGUUGGGAUUGGGGACUGCAAUGAUCCCCAUGAACCAGGAAUCCCUAGUAGGCGCGGGUCACUAGCCCGCGUCGAUUACGUCCCUGCCCUUUGUACACACCGCCCGUCGCUACUACCGAUUGAAUGAUUUAGUGAGGCCUUCGGACGGGCUUGUCGGGGUGCCGUCGCGUGGGGAGCAAUCUCUGCGCGCGCGGUGCCUACCAACGGCGAGACUGAAAGAUGGUCGAACUUGAUCCUUUAGAGGAAGUAAAAGUCGUAACAAGGUUUCCGUAGGUGAACCUGCGGAAGGAUCAUAA
rnacentral:ncRNA from 1 species